GCCUGCCCAAUGGUUGUAUCUAAAAGCGGUUGAUAAAAGUCAGCCUCGUAAGGACAAUUGAAUGGCCGCGGUAACACUGACCGUGAUAAUGUAGCGUAAUCAAUAGCCAAUUAAUUGUUGGCCAGUAUGAAUGGCGCCACGAAGGCCCCACUGUCUUAAGGAAAUUCCCAGUGAAAUUGAAUUCGUAGUGAAGAUGCUACGUCCAAUUUGUUAGACGAAAAGACCCCGUUGAGCUUUACUGGGACACUUACACGGCCCCGGCCUUAGAGCCCCCUCCGGGGGCUCGAAGGCCGAAUUUGAAUGGGCGGCUUAGACUAUGUGGCAGCCCCCCGUCGGGGGCAGAUGAAACCCCACUCCCCCAUGUCAAAGGGGCUAACCCCUCCCUUGGGGGGGACAAUGUAAGUAGGACAGUUUGGUUGGGGCGACCGCCUUUUAGAGAGUAACGAAGGUGCGCUUAACGUGCGCAAUUAAUGACUGAAGCCUGACUGCGAGGGGGACACUCCGAGCAGACACCCCAAGCCCGCCAGAGGGGGUCGGGGGUGGGCCAUAGUGACCGUUUAAUUUAGAGUGGGAUAG
rnacentral:rRNA from 1 species